UGUAAGCGUAUACCAAAGUUGUUGCAGUUAAAAAGCUCGUAGUUGAAUUUCUGGCGGGCGCGCCGGUCUUCCAAGUGUUGUACUGGGCGCAGUCCGCCAUCCUUGUGGAGAGGGCUCGCAUUGAGUUGCGUGUCGGAUCUGCAUCAUUUACUGUGAAAAAAUUAGAGUGUUUAAAGCAGGCUGUCGCUUGAAUACAUUAGCAUGGAAUAAUAAGAUAGGACUUCGGUCUAUUUUGUUGGUUGCGAACCGAGGUAAUGAUUAAUAGGGAUAGUUGGGGGUAUUCAUAUUUAAUUGUCAGAGGUGAAAUUCUUGGAUUUAUGAAAGAUGAACAACUGCGAAAGCAUUUACCAAGGAUGUUUUCAUUAA
rnacentral:rRNA from 1 species